GAUAGCAUCAUGACCUUUCAUUUUUUGUUGUUUUUUUUUCUUUUUAUUCAUUCUUUCAGUUA
rnacentral:ribozyme from 15 species